GACAGAGGGUGCAAACGUUGCUCGGAAUUACUGGGCGUAAAGGGCGUGUAGGCGGGAAGGCAAGUCGGGCGUGAAAGCCCCAGGCUCAACCUGGGAACUGCACUCGAAACUGCCUUUCUUGAGUGCCGGAGAGGAAAGCGGAAUUCCUGGUGUAGAGGUGAAAUUCGUAGGAUAUCAGGAGGAACACCAGUGGCGAAGGCGGCUU
rnacentral:rRNA from 1 species